UACGUAGGGGGCUAGCGUUGUCCGGAAUCAUUGGGCGUAAAGCGCGCGUAGGCGGCCCGGUAAGUCCGCUGUAAAAGUCCAGGGCUCAACCCUGGAACGCCGGUGGAUACUGUCGGGCUAGAGUCCGGAAGAGGCGAGUGGAAUUCCUGGUGUAGCGGUGAAAUGCGCAGAUAUCAGGAGGAACACCUAUUGCGAAGGCAGCUCGCUGGGACGUAACUGACGCCUGAGACGCGAAAGCGUGGGGAGCAAACAGG
rnacentral:rRNA from 1 species